UACGGGGGGGGCAAGCGUUGUUCGGAAUUACUGGGCGUAAAGGGCGCGUAGGCGGCUCGCUAAGUUGGAUGUGAAAACUCUGGGCUUAACCCAGAGCCUGCAUUCAAAACUGACGGGCUAGAGUUCUGGAGGGGAUAGCGGAAUUCCCGGUGUAGAGGUGAAAUUCGUAGAUAUCAAGCGGAACACCGGUGGCGAAGGCGGCCUUCUGGACAGUGACUGACGCUGAGGGACGAAAGCGUGGGGAGCGAACAGG
rnacentral:rRNA from 1 species